UGCCUGGGCCAUGCCUUCCUCACCUCU
rnacentral:piRNA from 1 species